rnacentral:rRNA from 1 species
ACGCUCGACACCUACGGGAGGCAGCAGUGGGGAAUAUUGCACAAUGGGGGAAACCCUGAUGCAGCGACGCCGCGUGAGCGAAGAAGUAUUUCGGUAUGUAAAGCUCUAUCAGCAGGGAAGAAAAUGACGGUACCUGACUAAGAAGCCCCGGCUAACUACGUGCCAGAAGCCGCGGUAAUCUGAGCGGGCUGGCAAGGC